rnacentral:lncRNA from 12 species
AUUGUUCAGAAAGUGAGUGACUUUGUCAGUCUUAGUUUACUGUAAGCUGACAGAGCUAUGAAAAAAAAAUUCAACUGGUUCAUCUGCGGGUCUCCAAAAAUCAGACUGCAGCCCUUUAACCUCUAUGACACUAACAUACACUUAAUAAAAAACCAUACUGUGAACAUUGGCUAUGUUUUCAUUAUUCAAAGCAAGUUUGUUUUCUUGUCUCUUUGUUUUCUUGUCUGAAGUUUUUCCUCCCAUGGAUCUGGAGUAGUCUACUCUGAUUUUUUAUCUCUCCCUGAUUCCUCUGAUCUCAGGGUCAGGGAAGAGGGAACAUAGCUAGAGUAGAAUUCCCAUUCCUUGAUCAAAAUAUUUUUUUCUUGGAAAUAAUACUUCAGCUAAAGACCCAGACCUUCAAAGGGAACUUCCAAAAGUGCAUUUUAUUUUAUCAGGGCAGCCAAGGACUGAGAAGGAUGGAGGGAGGAUAUAGGCAUUCUCCAUACUAUAUCCUUUACAUGCAAGAUGAUGCUAAGAAAAUAAUGGCAAUGGAAUUAUUUGGAGGUUGCAGGCAAGGAUGGAAAACUUAUUUGGAUUCAGAACAAAAGCAUCAUUUUGAAUUGGAAAGUAAAUGUGUAUGCACACUGGCUAAUGCAUUUUGGAAACAAGGACCUAAAAAUGCCAAAAUAUCACUAUCUCUUUAGAGCCAUGUUGAACCCAAAGAAGAAGAUUGCUAUUUCCAAAUGGCACCACUGCCCACAAUUAUGUUGGCAGGAAGUAUAAGGUCCCACUGGAAGCAAUGAACUUCACCUCCCACCAGGAAAAUCUGGAGGUAAAGGUUUAGUACAAUAGGGUCAUGAAGAAUAUCCUGUGCCAACUAUUUUAACUAGCAUGAAAAUAGUCCAAUUUGAGGAUGUUUAAGACUUUAUGUAGCAGUUUAGCUAAGAAAUAACCUGUCAUCAUGUCCGUUUUCUUUCCUUUAUGGGGUGUUUUGGCAGAACUUCUUCUGACCAUAAACAAGCAGAGCUAGAGGGGAGAUAAUUUGAGGACCAUUACCUGUGUUCUUUCCCUGGAGGAAAGGUGUAGAGAGAGCCCAGAAUUCCUCAUUUAUAUUUCACUUUCCAGCCUACUGCAAUCCUGUCCAAGGUUCAUCUUCUCUAAAACCAUCUGGAUUUGUAGGGGAGUCUUUCAGGGGGUGUUCCAACAUGAUUCAGAUUCCAAAUGCCCAGGAGAGUCCAAGGGGAGUGAAUUUUCCUUGUUAAGGGUUACCAUUACAUGUGUGAGCAUGUCUCUACCAGUGGGCUAAUUCUUUUGGGACUUGGUUCCUAUGGCUUGCUGGGCUGGAUGGACUAUGGCCUUUCAGAUCCUCUCUCCACCUUGAUCUCUGUCUUGAAAGGCUAACAAGCAUAGAUACCAUCAACAGACUUCAAUCAAACCACAGUUCCUCUUGGAUGGUCAUGUUCCAUAUGGUUCU